rnacentral:rRNA from 1 species
CUACGUAGGGGGCGAGCGUUGUCCGGAAUGAUUGGGCGUAAAGGGCGCGUAGGCGGCCUGUUAAGUCUGGAGUGAAAGUCCUGUUUUCAAGAUGGGAAUUGCUUUGGAUACUGAUGGGCUUGAGUGCAGGAGAGGUUAUCGGAAUUCCCGGUGUAGCGGUGAAAUGCGUAGAGAUCGGGAGGAACACCAGUGGCGAAGGCGGGUAACUGGACUGCAACUGACGCUGAGGCGCGAAAGUGUGGGGAGCAAACAGGAUUAGAUACCCUGGUAGUCCACACUGUAAACGAUGAAUGCUAGGUGUAAGAGGUAUCGACCCCUUUUGUGCCGGAGUCAACACAAUAAGCAUUCCGCCUGGGGAGUACGGCCGCAAGGUUGAAACUCAAAUGAAUUGGCGGGG